GUGGGUAUGGUUGUCCUGCGAGAGAACGUUCUGUGCUGGUGAUUUGGUCCUGUCAGGUGCUGGUGGGUCCUGAUUCUGUGCUGGUGGGUUUGUUUACAUUGUACCAGAACAGCAAUAAAACGACUCUUUUGUUGCUUAAUUUUUCUCUGAUGCGUCAUAAGUACCAUGCAAAGUAUAUUACAACAAUAUUAUAUUGCAAAAGUCGUGCAAGUUCGUUAAACGGAAUUGUCCUGACGCUGUGCUGGUGAUAAGAAAAACGGUCCUGGUUCUGUGCUCCUAUGUCCUGGUUCUGUGCCUUUAUAUUUUAGUUAAAAGUGGCAUAUAUUCAAGAUCAUUGAUGCUGUACUGUUAUUGACCAAAUAACUGUUGUCCGCUUUCUUGAAAUUGACAUUGUUGUGAAUCUGUUUACUGUUAUAAUGAGAGAAAAA
rnacentral:lncRNA from 1 species